rnacentral:rRNA from 1 species
AUUGAACGCUGGCGGCAGGCCUAACACAUGCAAGUCGAACGAGUGGCGGACGGGAGAGCAAUGACUGGGAAACUGCCUGAGGGAGGGGGAUCAGUAAUGGAAACGGUAGCUAAUACCGCAUACUAUCGGCUGUGCCCAGAUGGGAUGAGCUUGUUGGAGGGGCAACGGCUGACCAAGGCGACGACCCCUAGCUGGUCUUAGAGGAUGACCAGCCAAACUGGAACUGAGACACGGUCCAUACGCCUACGGGAGGCAGCAGUGGGGAAUAUUGGGCAAUGGGGGAAAGGCUGAUGCAGCCAAGCCGCGGGGAUGAAGAAGGCCUUCCGGUUGUUAAGUACUUUCAGCUGGGAAGCGGUACCAACAGAAUAAGCCCCGGCUAACUUCGUGCCAGCAGCCGCGGUAAUAC